rnacentral:rRNA from 1 species
UGACCUCGGAUCAGUAGACCCAUUA